rfam:Corynebacterium glucuronolyticum ATCC 51866 genomic scaffold SCAFFOLD4, whole genome shotgun sequence.
GCGCCAUUAGCUCAACUGGCAGAGCAACUGACUCUUAAUCAGUGGGUUCGGGGUUCGAGUCCCUGAUGGCGCA